CAUUUGCGGUGGCCAAGACAGAGGGAAAAAGAGAGGACGGUGACCUUCUUAGGGAAUCAGACGCAUCUCUUAAGAAAGCGACCAUUUUUAUGAGGGAGGCAGCGGCUGCUGCUUCCCAGGGGCAGAACAGGAGCGUGGACCCAGAAAGGCAAGAAUGAGAUGAAUUAGAAGAUUCCAAAUGGCAAGGUCAGAAAGGAAAAGUCCAGAUGCGGCAAAGCAAUCCAGAGGACCUUGCAACCUGGGCUGGGAAAGGGAGCCUAGCAUCGCCCCGCACAGCCCGGCCCAGCCCAGCAUGGCUCCCCAUAGACCACAGACCAGCCUUCGUUUGCAGCAUGUCAGGGCUGUUGGGUCUGGAGAGGCUGAGUCUACCCCCCAUCUCUUCGUCACUCGCCUCCAUGUCCU